GUGCCAGCCGCCGCGGUAAUACAGAGGUCCCAAGCGUUGUUCGGAUUCACUGGGCGUAAAGGGUGCGUAGGCGGCCAGAAAAGUUUGAUGUGAAAUCUCCGGGCUUAACCCGGAAAAUGCAUUGAAUACUGUCUGGCUUGAGGAUUGGAGGGGAGACUGGAAUACUUGGUGUAGCAGUGAAAUGCGUAGAUAUCAAGUGGAACACCAGUGGCGAAGGCGAGUCUCUGGACAAUUCCUGACGCUGAGGCACGAAAGCCAGGGGAGCAAACGGGAUUAGAAACCCGCGUAGUCC
rnacentral:rRNA from 1 species